AGUGAACGCUGGCGGUAGGCCUAACACAUGCAAGUCGAACGGCAGCACAGUAAGAGCUCGCUCUUACGGGUGGCGAGUGGCGGACGGGUGAGGAAUACAUCGGAAUCUACUUUUUCGUGGGGGAUAACGUAGGGAAACUUACGCUAAUACCGCAUACGACCUACGGGUGAAAGCAGGGGAUCUUCGGACCUUGCGCGAUUGAAUGAGCCGAUGUCGGAUUAGCUAGUUGGCGGGGUAAAGGCCCACCAAGGCGACGAUCCGUAGCUGGUCUGAGAGGAUGAUCAGCCACACUGGAACUGAGACACGGUCCAGACUCCUACGGGAGGCAGCAGUGGGGAAUAUUGGACAAUGGGCGCAAGCCUGAUCCAGCCAGACCGCGUGGGUGAAGAAGGCCUUCGGGUUGUAAAGCCCUUUUGUUGGGAAAGAAAAGCAGCAGGUUAAUACCCCGCUGUUCUGACGGUACCCAAAGAAUAAGCACCGGCUAACUUCGUG
rnacentral:rRNA from 1 species